rnacentral:rRNA from 1 species
GACGAACGCUGGCGGCGUGCUUAACACAUGCAAGUCGAACGGAAAGGCCCUGCUUUUGUGGGGUGCUCGAGUGGCGAACGGGUGAGUAACACGUGAGUAACCUGCCCUUGACUUUGGGAUAACUUCAGGAAACUGGGGCUAAUACCGGAUAGGAGCUCCUGCUGCAUGGUGGGGGUUGGAAAGUUUCGGCGGUUGGGGAUGGACUCGCGGCUUAUCAGCUUGUUGGUGGGGUAGUGGCUUACCAAGGCUUUGACGGGUAGCCGGCCUGGGAGCGGGACCGGCGACAAUGGGACUGAGAUACGGACCAGACUCGUACGGGAGGCAGCAGUGGGGAAUAUGGCACAGUGGGCGGAAGCCUGAUGCAGCAGCGCCGCGUGCGGGAUGACGUCCUUCGGGUUGUAAACCGCUUUCGCCUGAGACGAAGCGGGAGUGACGGUAAUGAGUAAAGAAGCACCGGCUAACUACGUG